UGCUUAGGCUUAGGCUUAGGCGUAGUCUUAGGCUUCGGAUUAGGCUUAGGCUUCGGCUUAGGCUUAGGCAUAGGCUCAGGCUUAAACUUAG
ensembl:ncRNA H20J04.10 ncRNA